rnacentral:lncRNA from 1 species
AGUUAGUUUGGAGGAGCUGGCUGUCUGAACUUAGUUGGAGUUUUUGGAGUUAGUUGGAGGAGCUGGGUCUCUGAACUCAGUUCAGGAGUUGAGGAUUUCAGUGAAGGACUGGAGUUUUGUUUUAGGACGAUCUUGUGUCAGGCAAACUCUCCUGUGGGGACACUCACAUGCCUUGAAAUGGUCUGGAGGAGGCGAGCAGGUGGGAGGGAAGAAGACAAAAGCAAAGUGUCUGUCUGAUCAAUCCCUGAAACACAGAAUGGCGGCUGCAUCGUUUUGCAGGUGCAGAGGAAAUGGGCUUGAAAUGAUGACCAAUGAUCAGGAACAUGACUGAAAUGAAGCCAGCAGCCUCACAACUCUCAGGACGACAGAAUCAUCCACACACCAAUAAAGUGUUCACGUUAUGAUAUUCA